rnacentral:tRNA from 2 species
CCAAGACGGUCACCAUACACCCGGGGACA